GUCCACGCCGUAAACGAUGGGCACUAGGCGCUUGGGGGAGCGACCCCCCGAGGGCCGGCGCUAACGCAUUAAGUGCCCCGCCUGGGGAGUACGGCCGCAAGGCUGAAACUCAAAGGAAUUGACGGGGGCCCGCACAAGCGGUGGAGCAUGUGGUUUAAUUCGACGCAACGCGAAGAACCUUACCUAGGCUUGACAUACACGGGAAAGCCCUCAGAAACGGGGGCCCCUCUUCGGAGCCCGUGCACAGGUGCUGCAUGGCUGUCGU
rnacentral:rRNA from 1 species